GACGAACGCUGGCGGCGUGCUUAACACAUGCAAGUCGAACGGAAAGGCCCUGCUUUUGUGGGGUGCUCGAGUGGCGAACGGGUGAGUAACACGUGAGUAACCUGCCCUUGACUUUGGGAUAACUUCAGGAAACUGGGGCUAAUACCGGAUAGGAGCUCCUGCUGCAUGGUGGGGGGUGGAAAGUUUCGGCGGUUGGGGAUGGACUCGCGGCUUAUCAGCUUGUUGGUGGGGGAGUGGCUUACCAAGGCUUUGACGGGUAGCCGGCCUGAGAGGGUGACCGGCCACAUUGGGACUGAGAUACGGCCCAGACUCCUACGGGAGGCAGCAGUGGGGAAUAUUGCACAAUGGGCGGAAGCCUGAUGCAGCAACGCCGCGUGCGGGAUGACGGCCUUCGGGUUGUAAACCGCUUUCGCCUGUGACGAAGCGUGAGUGACGGUAAUGGGUAAAGAAGCACCGGCUAACUACGUG
rnacentral:rRNA from 1 species